rnacentral:tRNA from 2 species
GCCACCGUAGCUCAGUUGGUAGAGCAACGGUUUCGUAAACCGUAGGUCGUUGGUUCGAGUCCAAUCGGUGGCU